rnacentral:lncRNA from 1 species
GCCCCUUUCAGUUUUCUCAUCUGCAAUCACUCUGAGCCCGAUGAGUAAUUCAAAAUGGAGAGUCUGAAAAGAGGGCGACCUUUUAAUAAGCAAGUCAAACUCACUUCUUAAAGUCUUCCUUUUCUUUCAUUUGCGCUCUAAGUGUAGGAAGUUGGCUCUUACUGGGAAGUAGAAAACUGGAGCAUAUGGGAGGGACAGUGCGGGCUGUGUGGAGAUUCCCACGCCUGGGCUACACAAAACGGAAAAGAAACCCCUUUCUCAGCAGAAUCCAGUCUUUCCUUGCAUAUCUCUACGCUUUCUAUUGAACUGGGUUUUUAAGUUCGGAAAAUAAAUUCUGUGUUAUCAAAACAGAGGGCAGAGCUGUAUCUGGGUCUCCUAACAACUGAAAUCGACCAUCUUCUGCACGAAAUCUUUAAGGACCAAGUGGCUCAGCCCCACAUGGAAAGAAACGCCAGGAGGGUUCCAAUGUGCUGCCCAUCUUGUGCAUGUGUCUUCGCAAAUGGGCCACUCAGCCCCUCCCACUGCAGGACAAGAAAAAAAUUAUUAGUGUCCAAUCAAGAGUUUGCAAGCUCUACUAUUCACCACAGCCAAGACAUGGAAACAAUCCAAGUGCCCAUUGACUGAUGAUUGGAUAAAGAAGAUGUGGUAUAUACAUACAAUGGAAUACUACUCAGCCAGAAUAAAAGACAAAUUCAUCCCAUUUGCAACAACAUGGAUGGACCUGGAGGGUAUUAUGCUAAGUGAAAUAAGUCAGACUGAGAAAGACAAACACCAGAUGAUUUCACUCAUAUGUGGAAUAUAAAUGAACACAUGGACAAAGAAAACAGUUCAGUGAUUACCAGGGGAAGCGGGGUGGAAGGUGGCCACAGGGGGUGAAGGGGAGCACGUACAUGGUGACAGACAAGAAAUAAUGUACCACUGAAAUUUCAAGAUGAUGUAAACUAUUCUGAAUCUCAAUUUAAAAAAUAAAAUAAAAUAAAGAAUUUUGAAAUUUCAAAAAGAGAGUUUGCAAGCUUUGAUAGAAGUAUGCAAAUAUAAAAUUCAUGGAACUUUGAAUAAGCAAAAUAACCACAAAUACCAGAAUACUCAUCAAUCUGAAGAAUUUUUCUUUUUUUUUUUUUUAAA